rnacentral:lncRNA from 1 species
UUUCCUGAUCCACGCACGUAGUGUAAGGUUGAGAGAUACUCCCCUCAGUGUAAGCUGGAAAGAUACUCCCCUCAGUGUAAGCUGGAGAGAUACUCCCCUCAGUGUAAGCUGGAGAGAUACUCCCCUCAGUGUAAGCUGGAGAGAUACUCCCCUCAGUGUAAGCUGGAGAGAUACUCCCCUCAGUGUAAGCUGGAGAGAUACUCCCCUCAGUGUAAGCUGGAGAGAUACUCCCCUCAGUGUAAGCUGGAGAGAUACUCCCCUCAGUGUAAGCUGGCAGCACAUCCUUCUGUUUACACAGUAAAGUACUUAUAGUAGCUAUGGACCAUCGUUCAUAUAUUAACGUAAUGGACAAAUUGAAAGUAGAAUUUGGUAAUAUUGAAUUUGGACAAACCGGAAAAGAUGUCAGAUUUAUGUUGUUAAUAAAAUCUAACGUAACCUAACCAUCCUAGGCCUAAUAAGCGCUGGUUAGUAUAGAUCCUUUCCUGUGUCUAAUCUCAUGUUGUCGCUGUGUUUGUCAAUUAUUAUUCAAGUUCAAGUAUGUUUAUUGAGACAAGAAAAAAUACAUCUCAAAGGGAUAGAGUAGCUUAAGCUAUUUCUACCCCCCUACUGCGAUUAUUAUUAUAAUGUACUGUUGGUUAGGGUAUCAUUGGUGAUUGGUUGUGUAUAGAAAUGAUGUCCAAUCAGGACUGGUCAGGGCAGAUGAGUCGUCUUGCGUAAGUCUCUACAAUUGUCCAGAAGUCUGAGAAAGGACUGGGGGUUAGACCAUCCAGUAGAGCGGUGACUACUCAUGAUGAAAGCACAUUUGUAUUUCAUACAGUGUUUUGUAACCACUACUGUCGAGUAGGUGAGACACGUCCUUUAGUGGUGUCAAUUUCUCUCCCUAUCUGCCUUGCUAGGUUCAGGACGUGGUUUCUCAUGGUCGUUGAAUCAAACGUCAUCCAUUAGAAGUCAACUUCAUCACUGAAUACUCAUCUUUAUGUUUGUCCCAUUCAGAAUAUCACGUGGUUUACUUAUGAUAAUCGCCUGUAUUUGUUGACAGCGAAUGUAGCCUAUCAACCAACUUAUCCUCUUAUAAUGAACGUUGCUUUUCGCUUGUAUGCGUUACAUAAGGACAAAAAUUGUACUAGAAAAUGGAAGCGGCUGACGAAAGUGACGUACUGUUCCGUUUUCUGUUUUGGGUCCUCUGGUAGGUUAGAAGGGGACACUUUAAAUUAACCGUUUCUUGACAUUAAGAAACCUUAGGAGGACGGGCUGUAUCAACGACUAUCCCAUUCAAAUAUUCCUUGCAAGUUAGUGGUUAAUGAACCCAUACUUGUAUAAGUAAGGAUUAGACUGUAGCAAGGAUUUUUUUUAUCUUUAAGAAAAUACAAUAUAAAUCAUAUAUACAUAAGUUUUACAAGGCAAUACUACAUUACAUAUACAGUAGUAUAAUUCUCAGUGAACAAGUGUUUCAUCAUCACAGAACAUGAUCUGUAAAUCCCCUAAAUGUUAUACUUAUUUUUCUUUAAAUGAUUUACAAAAUUGGAGAUUAUAUUUAUAUUAAAUUAAAGGGAUUAUUGGCUUGAACGACAGGUACAGGGACUUAGGUUUUUGGAAAAGACGUUCCAUAACAAGGGGCUAAGUACAUACAUUCUCUCUCUCUUUAUUUACAGGAAAUAAAGUAUAUUCAUAGUAUAUCGACUGAAUAUGUAGAUUAUUAGGAGGAAAAUAACUUUAAAAUAACUUUCAUUUAGUAGCUUUAUUGAUUUAAAUGGUAUUUGUACAAAAUACUGUCUAAAAUAUAAAUUCAUCACAGAUAAGAUUUUUACAUAAUACACAGACACUGCCAUCGCUGACACACCCGUACAAAA